CAGCCGCCACGGUAAUACGUAGGUGGCAAGCGUUGUCCGGAAUUAUUGGGCGUAAAGCGCGCGCAGGCGGAUAGGUCAGUCUGACUUAAAAGUUCGGGGCUUAACCCCGUGAUGGGAUGGAAACUGCCAAUCUAGAGUAUCGGAGAGGAAAGUGGAAUUCCUAGUGUAGCGGUGAAAUGCGUAGAUAUUAGGAAGAACACCAGUGGCGAAGGCGACUUUCUGGACGAAAACUGACGCUGAGGCGCGAAAGCCAGGGGGGCGAACGGGAUUAGAUACCCGCGUAGUCCCUGUCUCUUAUCAC
rnacentral:rRNA from 1 species